rnacentral:lncRNA from 1 species
AGAGUCUCCAUCAGCUUGUUGAGUGAUGCCUGGAACUGGGCACUGAUGCUGGGUGGUUUCUUCUUCUUAUGGAGAUGGAGAAGGGAUUUUGUAAUGUGGUCGUGAAGCGUCAGGUUGGUCAGGUGCUUGAGGGACUUCACAUCCAGCAUGUGCUUUGGGAGAUUGGGUUUGGCUUUGAAGUUCUUAUUUCGCCUGGGGAGACAAUAAAUGGCUGAGAUUAAUC